UGCCCAGCAUUUCCUAUCCCUACCUCCUCGCAGUACUGGCCGGGGUACGAAAAUCCUUAGGGAAGAUCGGGUAACCAAGCCCGGUGGGAACUCUGGUCGUAUGCUGGCAGGGAAGG
rnacentral:ribozyme from 1 species